CUGGCGGCGCAGGCCCCAAGGGCUAGAAAGGGAAAGCUGGAAGCAGGGGUAGGAGCCUGCAGGACUGCAGGCACUAUCCGGGCGCAGGGGGCGUUUCCCGGCAUGGGGCUGGAGGUGGGGCUGGGGAGUAAGGAGGAUUUCCAGCUCCAUUGAUGAGCUGCAGUUGACGCAGCACUUGGCAAAGGGCGCAAGAAGUAUUCUUGGGUGUGCACGUGUGGUUCUUAGGGAUGUCACCACGUGGAACCAACACUGCUGUGUGUCUGCGGAAGCUGCAAAUGACUGAGUGUUACUAACCUUGUCUGUGGUGCUUGACUUGGCUUCUUCUCUUUAGCUAAUAAGCAAUUUGUCCUAUUUGAAAAAUGAGCUUUGCACUAAUGGGACGUUUUGCAGAAAUGUAAAUAUACAUGGAUGUCCACACCUGGGCUCGGUUUUAAAGAUUAAGGGCAUUGGGAAGUUCAUUUGAUUUGGGAUGUGUUUCUUCCUUGGUCAUGUAUUGGUUGAGAAAUAACACCAGCUAAUAUUUGCAUAGAGCUUUCUCUUUUCAAAGCACUUCCACACACAUUACCGUUCUGUCUGCACAGAACGGCUAAUACGCCAAACGUGCAAAUAUUACUUUCCUUUUCUUUCUGUGACAUAGUUAUUAUUACUAUUAUCAUCGUCAUUUUACAGAUAAGGGAACUGGGACCCAGAGAGGUAAUUUGUCCAAGGUCAUUCACUACUAAGUGGCAGCAUCAGGCCUAUAAUCCAGAACCUCUGAAACUAGCCUCCCAGGGCCGGGGCUGAUAUGGGGCAGAAGCUGGCGUUUUGCUCCUGGGGAAAGGGAGACUCGUUAGUGGAUUGCUUUUGGACAUGCAUUGGUUAGUGCAACAUGUGAAGGGUAUCUAAACUAUGCUUUUGAAUAACCCAGCAAAUGCUUUCACGUUUUAUAACUAUUUCUGUGACUUCAUUUUGAAUUUAGAUUGAAUCAAAAAGACUACAUAACUUACAAGGAGAAUGCAAGGGUCCCCAUCGUAAUGGGAAAGAGAUGAAAUAACCUGGAAAUCUUCCAGCCUAAGGGCGCUGGGCAGGAGGAAGGGAACUUUGAUGGACUCAGAGGCUCAGGUUACUGAUUACUCACCAGGGAUACAGGUCUUGGUGCCCUCAUCCUUGAUUUAACUGCGUGUAUCAGUCAGGAUCAGUUAGGCAGUGCCACAGUAACCAACAAUCCCCAGAUCUCAGUGGCUUGACUUAACAAAAUUUUACUUCUCAAUCAUGAAAUAUAGCCAUCGUGGGUCAAUGGAACUCUGUUUCCUGUACCUACUCAGAGACAGAGGCUGCUGCAACUGGACGUGUUGCCUACUUAACUCUGAAGGCAGGAAACAAGGAUAGGACAAAUUGAGCACUGAUUCUGAAAGCUUCUACUUGGAAGUAACCUACAUCACUUCUCCUCUCAUUUUAUUGGCCAAAGCAAGUCACAAGGGGCAGGGAAGUGCAAUAGAUGCAAAUGCUCCUGUGGGCCUGAAAGGAGAAGCGCAAAUAUUUGGUUAACAGCACUAAUAGCUAACACACAGGGAAUAUGUGUGUGUGAGGUGGAUGUGUAUGUGUGCAUUUGAGGUAUGUGUAAUACAAUCAGUUCUACCCAUUUCCAGGGUGCUUUUCCCUUUUGGGGACAUACACUUGAGAUUCCCACUCUAAUGGGUUGUCAUUCCUUGCACUAGAGCAGGUUCAGAGAUUUAGACCUGGGUGAAAGAUACGUGAGUUGAGGGAAGCAUGGUAGAAGAGGUGAGCAGCAGUAGGGCAAACUCAGUAUAAAUUAAUUUGUAAAUAAAGAAAGAAUCCAGCAAAGGAAAGGACUCAGAGUGUAUGUGUCACUUGGGGCCUGCCUGCUAAAGGAAGCUUCUAAAACAGCAUAGCUUUGGCAGAAGCAUUUCCUGCCUUCUUGCCAUUUGCUUCCACUCAUCCUUCCUGGCUAAACUCAGGUGACAUUCCAGGAAGCCUUUGAUGGUCUCACGAGACUGGGCCCACCAAUCAUGUAGUAAGAGUGCCUAGGUCUGUUCUAUCCACCAGGCUGUGGACAGGGACCACAUCUUGCUCGAUGCUGGCUGUGGUAUGGGGAAUGGAGGCAGAGAGACCAGCGGGAAGGCUGUUGCAGGCACCCAGAGGAGAAAAAAUGAUGGUCUCCAUUACAGGAGUGGUGGUGGGAUGGAGGAAGUAUGCGAGAAAGAUUUAGGAGUCAAAUCAACAGGAUAGGGGCUGAUUGGAUGAGGAGAGAAGGAGGAGGUUUCUGGAGAAGCAACAGGGUAGAUGAUAGCACCAAGGGUGCCGGAGGAGGAGUAAAUUACCGAAUGAGGACAGUGUCCUGGUUGAGGUGUCUAUGGAACAUUCCCACAGAGAGAUCCAGGAAGCAGUGCAUAUAGGGGCCUGAGGUUCAGGUGGGGGAAACUGGCUGGGCCCAGAUCCUGUGAUCCAUCUCUUGGUUAGACUUCAACAUCAAAUCCUCCAAUAAGGUCAGCAUUUUUUAAAGGAAUUUGUUAAAAAAACAAAACAAAACCAAAAAACAGGUGGGGAGUAGGGGAGAGGAAACCACCAAAAAUAUGUAUAGCAUAAAAACUGUGAAAUUCCUGAACUAUGAAUCCCAAGAGUCCAGUCAGAGGAGCGCAAAGGCUUCAUAGGAAGGACGGAGGGUCCCUCCAAGAUUGGUUGAGCUUCCACCGGUCUGUCCCAUUAUCUUACCUCCACAGGUUGCUCCCACUCCAUCUCCUGCUGAGCAGGAGCCCGCUUGUCCCGUCUGAGACCUGAACUUGAUAUCAAACCUCUUUCAUCCUUGAGGCUCCCCUCCCGCACAUCCUCUUAUGGAUGUGGAUCAUAUUGCCUUUGAUUCAGACCUCCUGGGUCCCGGGCAGUCCCACCCAGAGUCCCGGAAUUGAAAAGACCAGGUGCCUGGGCCAUCCUGCAGCCAGUGGGGAAAAGAAGUUCCAGACUCUUGCUGCUCAAAGUGCGAGCAGUGGACUUGCAGCAGCGGCGCCACUGAGGUUUGUAGAAGCGCAGAAUCUCAGCAGUUCCAGAGCUUCGGAAUCAGAAUUUGCAUUUCGACAAGACCUCCAGGUGAUUCGUAGGCACCCUGAAGAUUGAGCAGCUCUGCCUUAGAAGUUUUCAGGGAGCAGGGCUAAGAAGGCUGGAGAUAAAAAGGACACAGGCAGCCCUCGCUGAGCUGGAAGAGGCAUUCUUGGAGACACCUGCACAUAUGGAUCAAGUCAUUCAAAGUCACUCUAGCAUCAUUCCUGGGGAGAUACACUGUGUUCCCAACAUUGCACUAUUUAUCUGCUAAACCAGGGAGGGAGUUAUCAGCUGAUGUCUCUCGGUCUUCUUGCCAUUCUUUAGGACUGUCCUAAUGGUGGCAUGACUAGGCAAUGACCUGCAUCCACUUGAUAUUCGGCCAUCUCAAACCACAAUAAAUGAAGAUGAACAUCUA